AAGAUUAUACCAACAUUGAUGUUACGAAUUUUUCAGGACAGAACUGUGUCGUUUCAAUGGUGCUAAGAUAUACCCAGGAAAGGGUAUCAGAUUUGUGAGACCUGAUUCCCAGGUGUUCCUCUUCUCCAACUCAAAAUGCAAGCGCUAGUUCCAUAACCGGUUUAAGCCUUCCAAGCUUACCUGGACGGCUAUGUAUAGGAAGCAACACAAGAAGGAAAAGAGACAGCUAUUUUGAUUAUGAGAUGUUUUCAUGCUUGUACAAGAAUUCUCAUGGCUGGAAGGAAUUUGCAAUGGGGAGGUUACAUUCAAAUCAUUCCCCCUGAACUUAUAUUUGCCUACAUUAAAUCUUUGAAAAUUUAGAUUUGGCUUAGAUCCAAAGUUGAUUUUGAUGGAUUGCAGAAUCUAUGUUUUGAAUCUGUUGCUUUCCAAAGUUGAUUUUGAUGGAUUGCAGAAUCUAUGUUUUGAAUCUGUUGCUUUUCAAAGUUGAUUUUGAUGGAUUGCAGAAUCUAUGUUUUGAAUCUG